UCCCUUGUGGCUCAGGUGGUAAAGAAUCUGCCUGCAAUGCAGGAGACGUGGGUUCGAUCCCUGCAUUGGGAA
rfam:Ovis aries breed Texel chromosome 18, whole genome shotgun sequence.